GUGGCCGGCAGAGGAGGCGCUUUGGAAUUUCCAUAGAGGCUUUCGAGGCUCCUGAGGACCUCGCUGUGAGCUCUCCCCUUGAGUAUCAAGACCUUUCAAAAUGCUUGGCAAAGAGACAAGACUCAAGAACACUGUUGUGGAAUUGACGUGAGGGUUGGUGCCUCAGCUACUGUAUAGGAGCCUACAAUUAAUGAUGGCUGCUGAUGAACCUGUAUCGGACCAGAGUGCUCCAAUCUUUAUUGGAAACGUCUAGCCCAACUGUCCUAACUAAAUCUAAAGACAGCCAUUUGUCAUCCCCCUGACUGCCUGUCAUCAUCU